rnacentral:rRNA from 1 species
CGGAUGAAGGGAGCUUGCUCCUGGAUUCAGCGGCGGACGGGUGAGUAAUGCCUAGGAAUCUGCCUGGUAGUGGGGGAUAACGUCCGGAAACGGGCGCUAAUACCGCAUACGUCCUGAGGGAGAAAGUGGGGGAUCUUCGGACCUCACGCUAUCAGAUGAGCCUAGGUCGGAUUAGCUAGUUGGUGGGGUAAAGGCCUACCAAGGCGACGAUCCGUAACUGGUCUGAGAGGAUGAUCAGUCACACUGGAACUGAGACACGGUCCAGACUCCUACGGGAGGCAGCAGUGGGGAAUAUUGGACAAUGGGCGAAAGCCUGAUCCAGCCAUGCCGCGUGUGUGAAGAAGGUCUUCGGAUUGUAAAGCACUUUAAGUUGGGAGGAAGGGCAGUAAGUUAAUACCUUGCUGUUUUGACGUUACCAACAGAAUAAGCACCGGCUAACUUCGUGCCAGCAGCCGCGGUAAUACGAAGGGUGCAAGCGUUAAUCGGAAUUACUGGGCGUAAAGCGCGCGUAGGUGGUUCAGCAAGUUGGAUGUGAAAUCCCCGGGCUCAACCUGGGAACUGCAUCCAAAACUACUGAGCUAGAGUACGGUAGAGGGUGGUGGAAUUUCCUGUGUAGCGGUGAAAUGCGUAGAUAUAGGAAGGAACACCAGUGGCGAAGGCGACCACCUGGACUGAUACUGACACUGAGGUGCGAAAGCGUGGG